rnacentral:rRNA from 1 species
GAUGAGCGCUAGCGACAGGCCUAACACAUGCAAGUCGAGGGGCAGCGGGGAGUGGCAACACUCCGCCGGCGACCGGCGCACGGGUGAGUAACGCGUAUGCAACCUGCCCGCACCAGGGGGAUAACCGGGAGAAAAUCCCGUCUAAUACCGCGUAACGCCUUGUGGGGGGCAUCCCCCAUGAGGCCAAAGGGUUUCCGGGAGCGGAUGGGCAUGCGUGACAUUAGCUAGUUGGCGGGGUAACGGCCCACCAAAGGCGACGAUGUCUAGGGGGUUCUGAGAGGAAGGUCCCCCACAUUGGUACUGAGACACGGACCAAACUCCUACGGGAGGCAGCAGUGAGAAAUAUUGGUCAAUGGGCGCGAGCCUGAACCAGCCAAGUCGCGUGAGGGAAGACGGCCCUACGGGUUGUAAAACCUCUUUUGCCGGGGAGCAACGCUGCGGACGCGUCCGCA